rnacentral:lncRNA from 1 species
GUACUUCUCGGGAUCUUCGGGAUCUCGGGACUUGCCUCGGGGCUUGAGUAUGAUACCGGGGCUUCGGGAUAUUUCUGGCACGCAAAACGAUGCAAAACGGGAGAGAGAAGAGAGGAAAUUGGCAAAAGACUCGGCUGCCUUCGGUUCCUAUUUAUAGGAGGCUGGAGCCUCGGAGUACGCGGGGCGUACUGCAGUACGCAGCGCGUACUGCUUCCGAAAUCGUCACUGCAUGCGUCAUCCGAAAUGUCGACACUCUUCGGAGUACGCGGGGCGUACGUCGGAUCGGACCGGUGACUCGUCUUCGGAUAAUGCCGGAUUAAAAGAUUAAUUUUAAUUACAAAAUAUUUAAUAAACUUCAGAAAUUCAUAACUUUCGCAUACGAACUCCGUUUUCGACGUUCUUUAUAUCCACGCGAAGGUGAGACCACGCUCUACAACUUUCGUUUAGACUCCGUCGGCUAAUUUCGACUUUAUUUUUAUUAUUUAUUUUUAAUAGGCCGCGACAGAAAAACUUCGUUAUAAAUUCAUAACUUCUUCGUUUGACGUCCGUUCUCGCCUAACUUUUUAUCGCUUCGAUACCAACAACGAGACCUUCGAUCCUCGUUUAGAUUGCUAAGGCUAAAUACCGCUCUAACGUAAAUUCACUUUUUACGUUGCGCUGUGUCGUGCCGGUUCUGUCGCGAAACUUCGACAGGUCAUAACUUCUUCGUUAUAACUCGGAUUUUGGCGUUCUUUAUAUGCACGGAAACCUUGUAACAUAUACUACAACUUAGUUAGGAUUAUUCAUCCUAAAUAAUCUUCUAUCAAAAAGUCAUUUUUGACUCUUAUUGUCUCUAAAUUGACUAGCCCUGAUCUACGGGCGUUACAAUUAUCUCCCCCUUAGGAUGAUUACGUCCCGGAAUCAUCAACGAAAUAGGAUUCGCAUACUGACUCCAUAAGUUAUCUCUCCAUUCUAAGUAAUAACCCUGAUGGGUCGUGUCCCGAUGACCUCUCAUCAUAGUCGGACUCAAUUGAUAUGACCCCUAGGGUCGGAAUAACAACUAUCUUACUAGACAUUACCGAAACAAUGGUAAUGACAUACUUGAAUAAAACGGAAUCAAUUACUAGCUUCUUGAUAACCUUGUGACUUCCCCUGAUCCAAGCGUGAGUCCUGUGCUUCCGGUAGUAUAGAUCUCUACUACCAUUCACACCUACUCAUACUCGUCCCAAGUAUUGUCUCGCAGUUAACCAAGUCACCAUACAUAAAUCAUAUAAUCAUUCAACACAUCAGAUAACAAAACUAGGAUUUAUAUUAAUUCUUGAAACUAUUACACAAAAGUUCAAGUUCACCCUAUACUAUGCCUCUAACAGGCUAUGCUUCCUGAUACAGACUUUACCGACUUUAUAUAUUAAUAUGAAGUCUUCAUCCUUUAACCCUCCCAUCCCUUUCUGCUUCGUUGAGGAACAUGUUGAAUGCCCUUGGCUGUGGAGGUGUGUUUUUCUGUGGGCAGUCUUUAGAAAUAUGACCUUCUUCAUUACACCUAUAGCACAUCUUCUUGUUAGGUGCGCACUUGUUGGCAUAGUGCCCUGUCUUCCCACAUUUGUAGCAAGUCAUCUCCUCGCUACAUUUCCCGAAGUGUUUCUUCUUACACUUCUCACACCACUUAGCCUCAUCUCUUCCUCCAGUUUUCGAGAAUUUACUUUCUUUAUCGAUUAUUGAAGAUCCUUCACGCUUCCUUUUCUCUCCAACUUCAGCCCUUUCCAGACCCUUUUCUUUUAUUUGGGUCUCAACAUUUUUGGCUGCCCAGAUGGCGGCUUUCAGAGUGGUUGCUUGUUUGACUAUCGGACCAAAGUCCGCUGGUAAUCCAUUAGCAAACUUGUUGACCUUGGAAAGUUCAGUCGGAAUUAGGUAUGGAAUAAGCUUCAUCUUCUCCGUAAAGCUCGUAGCGUAUUCAGUAACGCUCAAUUUUCCUUUCUUCAGAUUCUGGAACUCAUUGUUGAUUUCCAGAAGAUCCUGCUCAGAGCAGUAUUGCAUUUUCAUUUGCUCCACGAACUCUUCCCAAGACAUCUUGCUAGCUUCCCCCUUGGGCAUUGAACCAGCCAGUAACUUCCACCAGCUCAAUACUCCAGAUUUUAACAGAGGGAUUGCAAGAGCGGUCUUCUGUCUGUUGCUACACUCGCAACUUUCAAACAUUGUCUCCAUUUCGGAGAUCCAGUCCAUGACUUGCACCGGUGUCGGGCUCCCAGAAAGACAUGGUGGUUUGGAUGCCAUGAAAUCCUUGUACUUGCAUCCACGUCCAUCAUUUCCUCUAUCCUGGUUGUUUUGGCGAACUAUUGGUGGGUUGGCUUGACCAACGGUCCCACUAUAGUUUCCUCCUUCAGAAUGCCCUCCAUUUACUUCGGGCUCUUCUACUCGAAUUGACAAUUCCUCGCGAUUUUGUCUGAUCAGACGUCUAGUUUCUUCCAUCUGAUUAUUCAACAUUGCCUGGAUCAUCACUUGAACUCCGGCCAUUGUCAUUGGUUCAGGCGCUGCUGCCACAACAGGUAUUUGUUCAAUUACUGGUACUUGAUUCCUGUUCUCAUCAGCAUUUCCAACUCCACUCCUCGUUCUCACCAUUUUUGAUCUAUACACCGAAUAUGGUGAAAUUAGAUCCUUAAUCACGAUAGAUAUUCAAAUCAUCCUUAUCACUCCGAAACGUUUAUAUGCUAGUUCUAAUAUCGUAGACGUACGCUUAGAAUCCUAUACACAUAAGGUUUCCAGAUCCGGUCGGCAACAGACCAUAGAUCCGAACAAAUAAUAGCAUCAAUAUAGCUAUCACACAAAACAUUUAGCACGCAAAAGCAUUUUAGGCAAUUUUCCUAAAAUAAAAUAGUGCCUGUGUCAAUUUAGGUGUACUACCUAAAAUAUAAUGGACACACUCAACUCGCAAUCAUUGCUUAGCAUUCUAAGUUUAAGUCUAGAAAUCCUACAAAUUCCUAGUUCGCUUAAACUAAUGCUCUGAUACCAACUGUGACAUCCCCAAUUUCACGGCCAGAAAAGACCGAUUUGUUUAUGCUUUGUUUUCAAAAUCAGAGUGAUCGUUUAAAGAAAACGGUUGCGGAAUUUGUUCCCAAAAUAAAAUAUGAUAACCAUUUUAUCAAAACAUUUCUCGAAAAGAAUGUAUUUUUAUUAAAUAAUAAAACCUCGGGAUGUCAUGUUCGUUACAGACCAAAAGCAUAAACAACAUAAAAUAGACCUUACAAUAGUUAUUCAACUACUGAUCUAUAAUCCAAAAUCUCUCGUCAAGUCCGCCGACUUAUACUCUUGUGUCAUUACCUGUAAUGAAAAGAAAACUGAGUGGGUCAGGCUUGGGAGCCUGGUGAGCAUAUAGGGUUUUCAACCCACAAUAAUACAUUUAUUAUAUUCAAUUAUCAAACAAUCAACUCAAAUACCCAUCUCCAUCAUCUUCUUAAGGUUUCCCCCUAAGAACCAACUAUCCUUCAUUCACUUAUUCCUAAGGAAUCGGCACGAAAUCCAUUGCUGCCAAAGUUUAUCUAUCGAGUACUAAAUCCAUAGUUAUAAGACGCUAACUCCAUAGUCGUCGGGGUUUACUCAAGCGGCGCUAACUCCAUAGUCACCAAGGUUCACUUAACAAGCGCUAACUCCAUAGUCGCCAAGGUUUACUUAACAAGCGCUAACUCCAUAGUCGCCAAGGUUCAUCAAAUAGGCACGAAGUCACAUCGUCGCCAAGGUUUAUGCAAUAGGCGCUAACUCCAUAGUCACCAAGGUUUAUACAAAAGGCGCUAACUCCAUAGUCACCAAGGUUUAUCUAACAACAGGCGCUAACUCCAUAGUCACCAAGGUUUAUCUAACAGCAGGCGCUAACUCCAUAGUCACCAAGGUUUAUCUAACAGCAGGCGCUAACUCCAUAGUCACCAACUAACCCAUCUACCCAUGUUCUACCCAACAAUAUUAGUAGAUAAAAAUAUACAUUUGUAUACAUAGUUUAAAGAAAACCUGUAUAGCAUGCUUUAAUCAACACAUAUAUCACAUAACAGAUGAGGCACACACACGUAACACAUAUCUCAUAAAGAAAUAAGCAGAUCUGUAAGAUAGAAGAGAGUGAAUACUCAUUCACACAUAACACAACCAAAUAUAUACACAUAGCACGUAUUUUUAUAUAAAAUACUUCGUAUUAUUGUAUUAGAAGAAAUAACUACACACUCACUUGAUCAGAAGACGAUCCGACAGCACUACGGCUUAUAGAAGUAGUAUUCCUCAGCAGAUCUGGAAGAUCUCCUCGAAAAUCGAACUUCUCGCGGGCAGAGCUUCGACUCGGGAACCGCACUUUUCGGGAUCUUCGGGAUCUCGGGACUUGCCUCGGGGCUAGGGUAUAAUACCGGGGCUUCGGGGUAUUUCUGGCACGCAAAACGAUGCAAAACGGGAGAGAGAAGAGAAGAAAUUGGCAAUUGGGUCGGCUGCCCUCGCAUCCUAUUUAUAGGAGGCUGGAGCCUCGGAGUACGCGGGGCGUACGCCAGUACGCGGGGCGUACUGGUCCGAAAAACGUCACUGCGUGCGUCAUCCGAAGCCACUUGCUGCGAAUGUCGACACUUCGGAGUACGCGGGGCGUACUCGAGUACGCAGCGCGUACCUCGGAUCAGACCGGUGACUCCUUCGGAUAAUGCUUCCGAAUUUCCUUUUAAAUUUAAAUACAAAUUGAUUAAUAAACUUCGGAAAUUCAUAUCUUCUUCAUACGAACUCCGUUUUCGACGUUCUUUAUAUCCACGCGAAGGUGAGACUACGCUCUACAACUUUCGUUUAGACUCCGUCGGCUAAUUUCGAC